GUACUAGUAGCUCAGCGCCUAGAGCUUCGGUCUUGUAAACCGGAUGUCAAGGGUUUAAAUCCCUUCUAGUACU
rnacentral:tRNA from 1 species